CCUACGGGUGGCAGCAGUGGGGAAUAUUGCACAAUGGGGGAAACCCUGAUGCAGCGACGCCGCGUGAGUGAAGAAGUAUUUCGGUACGUAAAGCUCUAUCAGCAGGGAAGAAAAUGACGGUACCUGACUAAGAAGCCCCGGCUAACUACGUGCCAGCCGCCGCGGUAAUACGUAGGGGGCGAGCGUUAUCCGGAUUUACUGGGUGUAAAGGGAGCGUAGGCGGCAGGGCAAGUCUGGUGUGAAAUCCCGUGGCUUAACCAUGGAACUGCAGUUGAAACUGUCAAGCUAGAGUGCAGGAGAGGUGAGCGGAAUUCGUAGUGUAGCGGUGAAAUGCGUAGAUAUCAGGAGGAACACCGGUGGCGAAGGCGGUUUACUGGACUGUAACUGACGUUGAGGCUCGAAAGCGUGGGGAGCAAACAGGAUUAGAUACCCGGGUAGUC
rnacentral:rRNA from 1 species